rnacentral:sRNA from 1 species
AUGGUUUUCAGCCAAAAAAGAAAAAGAAAAAGAAAAAAGAAAAAAGAAAAGAGGAAGAAGGUUCCGAUAUUGGGUUCAGGUUUAACCAAUUUUCCCCGACCUAUCACCUCGAGGGUGACCCUGUCCAUAAUCGGAUCCGGUGACAGUUGAUUGGCGUCUCAAUUAAUCAAUCCCUCCUAGCGGGGGUGAGGCCAUCUCCAACCCCCCAACGAAGCAAAACAAGAAUGGAGGAUGCUGAUGGGUGAAUCAUCCCUUCGCCGACCCACCGACUACAUGUUCUCGCUCGAACACGGAGACUGGGAAAACCGAGGAUGAGCCGCAAUAGAGCAGGGAUGAACGGCCUGUUCAUUUUCAAAAUUCCCUAACCAGCUUCGCAAGUUGAACCCCAAAUUUUUAGGCCGUUAGAAGCCUGGCCGAGGCUCCAUGCGGGUUGCAAGAGCGAGAUCCCUCCAACGCUAUCAAUGACUGCAGUUGACUUGUCGUAUCUCGGGUCAAGCUUACG